rnacentral:rRNA from 1 species
AUUGAACGCUGGCGGCAGGCCUAACACAUGCAAGUCGAGCGGAGCGGCGGACGUGUGAGUCAUGCCUAGGAAUCUUCCUGGUCGUGGGGGAUAACGUCCGGAAACGGGCGCUAAUACCGCCUCCUCUCAGAUGAGCCUAGGUCGGAUUAGCUAGUGGGUGGGGUAAAGGCCUACCAAGGCGACAAUCCGUAACUGGUCUGAGAGGAUGAUCAGUCACACGGGAACUGAGAAACGGUCCAGAUUCCUACGGGAGGCAGCAGUGGGGAAUAUUGGACAAGGGGCGAAAGCCUGAGCAAGACAGGCGGCGGGGGUGAAGAAGGGCUUCGGAUGGUAAAGCACGUUAAGUUGGGAGGCGGUACCAACAGAAUAAGCAACGGCUAACUUCGUGCCAGCAGCCGCGGUAAUUC